rnacentral:rRNA from 1 species
CCUACGGGGGGCAGCAGUGAGGAAUAUUGGUCAAUGGACGAGAGUCUGAACCAGCCAAGUAGCGUGAAGGAUGACUGCCCUAUGGGUUGUAAACUUCUUUUAUAUGGGAAUAAAACGUUCCACGUGUGGGAUUUUGUAUGUACCAUAUGAAUAAGGAUCGGCUAACUCCGUGCCAGCAGCCGCGGUAAUACGGAGGAUCCGAGCGUUAUCCGGAUUUAUUGGGUUUAAAGGGAGCGUAGGUGGAUUGUUAAGUCAGUUGUGAAAGUUUGCGGCUCAACCGUAAAAUUGCAGUUGAAACUGGCAGUCUUGAGUACAGUAGAGGUGGGCGGAAUUCGUGGUGUAGCGGUGAAAUGCUUAGAUAGCACGAAGAACUCCGAUUGCGAAGGCAGUUCACUGGACUGCAACUGACACUGAGGCUCGAAAGUGUGGGUAUCAAACAGGAUUAGAUACCCCUGUAGUC